AGAGUUAAAUAGUACGUGAAAUUGUUAAAAGGGAAACGCUUGAAAUCAGUAUUGUUUGCAGGAAAUCAGCCGUCAGGGUUUAGGUGGUUCAUGCUUGGAGAGCGCAAGCCUCCGGUGUGCAUUUACUUGGGUCAGGGCGGUGCACUUUUCUGUUGACAGGUCAACAUCAGUUUGACUCGUCGGAUAAAUGCGAGAGAAAGGUAGCUCCGGGUUUCGGCUUGGAGUGUUAUAGUCUUUCGUUGAUACGACGGGAUGGACUGAGGAUCGCAGUGCGAGCCUUUUGGCUGGGUAGGCUAGUCGCUCUGUAGCUUCCCGCUGUGCACAGCUUGCUGAGUACGGUGGAGGAGUUGCAGACCCGAUUUGUCUCCACAUUCGCGCUAAGGAUGUUGACGAAAUGAUUUUAAACGACC
rnacentral:rRNA from 1 species